UCUCGACAUACUUGAUAUUAUUAAAAAGAUGAGACGAGUAUAAUCCUAUCUUACAAUUUUGUUUGAUAAUCUUCUAAAAAUAUAAUUAAAAUUAUCUUAUUGAGUUCUGUCUGAAUACCUGUCGAGAACAGAUUCUCAGUGCAUCAUCGGAUACGUUUUUUUUUCUUCCUCCUUUCUCUCUCCUAUUGUAUCAUCUGAUCUCCUCUCCCUCUUUCUUGAUACGUUGAACCAACGCUGACAUCUAUCAUGGAACGUAUUCAAGCUAUGCCUGUAUAGUAAUUACAAACUCUUUACCCCCACACUCUCUCCCCCUGGCUUAAUAAUUGUAGAGUAUGAUUGAGUAGACAAAUUAAAGGUAUGACAAGCGAAACCUUGUAGUGAUAAUUUGUGGGUUUUGGUUACUUUUGUUAGCUAUGUAGGUUUACUGUCGUCAAAGAUUGUUUUGUUUAUAAAGAUAAUACUGGGCAACUCUUUGAAGCUUCUGGGUUGCAGCCUUUUCCAUGUUAAGUUGCACGACUCUUUUUUCUGGGUUUUGUUUUUGUGUAAUUUUUAAUUGAAAAACCUUUUUUUUUUGUUUGGUGUCAGUUAUAAUGUUGGAUUAGAUGCCUAGCUGCAUAUUCUUUUAUGUUCUUUUUUUGCCAUGUAUUUUUUCCCUCAUGUUGUGGCUGUAUGCAGUAAAGGUUGUGAAUUUGUUGUUUUAUGUUUCAUGCUGGAUGUCGUAGUUUAUCUGACUUUGUGACUGAUGGUUGUCUUGCCAUUUAUACUCGACCAUUACUUUUUAAUAGAACUUCAAAUCAGGGUCAGCAAAAGUAAAAGUUCAUUGGCAUGCUCUGUGAAGUUCCAUCAACUUCAUUACUGUCUGUGUUUUGGUAGUCGGGGUGGGCAAAAUCGAGGGCCUUUUGGAUCUAAUCAGGCUACAGAUUAUGUUCAUUUACGAAGCCUAAAUUUUAUCGUGUUGUUUCAAGGCAGUGUCCAGUUCAUUUUUGUCACCCGUGCAGUCCAUUCCAUGUCAUAUUUUGGUUCUGUAGUAAAUCAGACACUUGUCAAUGUUGUUAUUUUUCUGGAAUCAUUUACCAAUCAAAUCUGCAGUGGAGCUUCUCUUCUAAAAUGAUUUUUGCACCUGAACAUGAAUAGUGUGCUGUAAAAUAAUGUCUCUGGUUUCUUCUUGCAUGCCCAUCUCAGCAGUCAACUCUAUCUAUUUAUUCUUUGUGGGCUGAGUUGGGAUUUAAUUCUCUGUGUUUCUUCAAUUAUUCUGUAGAUAUCGAGGUAACCAAAAACUUAUGGUUUCAUCCUGUCAUGAAUAGCAUGAUUCCAACGGGGCAUUCCGAGAAUUAAACUCUGGACCUCUUGCACCCAAAGCAAGAAUCAUACCACUAGACCAAAUGCCAUCUAUGAUCCAGGAAAGCAAAACCUAUAUGGCCCUUUAAUUCCUGAAACAGGAAAAUAGGCCGUUUUAUGCUGGGAUUGGUUGCUUUGCACCCAACCUGAGAAUUUUCCCGAAUCACUUUGGAUUAUCUAACCACAUAUUUUCUUAUUCACUAACCGAAUCAGAUACUUUCUUGAUUCUUAAACUAUGAUUUAUAUCAAUGAAGGUUCCUCAUAUGAUUUUCUUUUCCUUCUGAACAUUAAUAGGCUCUACUGCAUUGAAUAGAAUGUUGCCAAAACAGAAAAACUCAUGUUAUCCAAUGUGUUGAUGGAAAGCAUAUAGAUCGUGACAUUAAACUAUAUAUCCUAACGUUUUAGUUAUUUGGCAAGACUGAGCUGACUGUAAAUUUGGCAGAAAGCCAAUCACUGAGAUUUCUUGCCCAACAGACUGAACCUUUUGAUGUGUAGAUAUACAAGCUGACUUUCAAAUUCUUUCCCGUGGUAUAGCAUGUCCUCUUGCAUUAAUUGUAGCUUUGGGCAUGUUUCUGUUCUCUUAUUUUGUCAUGUCAAUUGAGUUACUGAGCGCAUUGCAUCAAAUUGAUGCUUACACCAUUUGGCAGGUUCAGGUAAAUGACUUCUCUCCAAUGUCUGAAGCUAGUGACAGUUGUGAACCUAGCUUGCAUACCUUGAUUUCAGCAGAGUCUACUUAUUUAUUGAUCGUUUUAUUGGCAUAACUCUACCUUCUAAACCUUGCUGGGUUGUUUGUUGAUAUGCAUUUUCGUACCAUCUUGAAGGGUUGAGACUGGUGGUUCUGCAUUGAUUGACGAGGCCACAGGGAUAUUUCUGGCUUGACCACCUUGUCAUUAACAUCCACAGAGAAUCUAUUUUCAAAAGUAUCUUGUCAGGAAACUAAUAUAUCUGCAGAUCAAAAUAUUAUAUCAUUGUUUUCAUGUUGUUGUCUUGCUACAUUUUAAGAUGGAUAAAAAAAAUUGUCAUAUGGUUAGAAAUAAUAACUUGGGACCUCUCGCAUCCAAAGGGAGAAUCAUACGGCUAGACCAAAUGCCCAGUUGGUGAUACUCAUCAUGCGAAAUUUCUGCUACUAAUGCAUUUGCUAGCUUGAAGUUUUAGAUCUCAG